UUUUGCACUCCUGUUGUAUUUACUCUUCUCCGCUUCCAGGCGCGGGGCAUGGGGCGGGCCCUCCGCCCGGGGAGGGGCAGUCUGACCACCGGCAGGGCCUUUCAUUGGGCUAUCUUUGCUGAGGGACCCAUCUAACCACCAAUCAAAUACCUGGACGUAAGCCUAAGGGGUGGGAUUGCCCAGUAGACCCUCUUUGGAGGUCAGAGCUCGGCGGGGCGCGGCUCGGGACCGGUGCUGCGCGAGUAGUUGCUUCAGCUGUCUCCUGCGUGAACUCGGGUACCCUGAGUCUCUGGGAAGAGAUUUGGAACCCCAAAUCUUCCCUGACUGGGGUGACAUUAGUCUCUUCCCCGAAGAUUUUCAUCUUAGUUAUGCCACUUUCAAGUAUUAUUUUUUCUUCUUGAGGUGUCUAGUUCCUUUCUGCCUCUGCGCGUCCAGAAAACUGCAUUUCAGGGAUGCUCGGCUCUGAGAACAAACUUUGCAGAAAAUUAAGGCUUUUCUUUUGUCAGACCGCAGUCGGCUGACGGAGGGGCAAAAAAAGGGGGGAAAAAUUAAUGGGGUAACCAGAAACUAUUUUACUCAUGCUAAACUCAUGAACGCUGGCGCUCUGAGGGAAAUAAUCUCCAGCAACACCAGAACUUUCGCCUUGCCUCCGACCUUGAAGGCUUCACCAGGUACUGUUUGCUGCUUGACUUCAGCUGACUAUGCAGAGCCAGUUAAGAAAAAGAAGAAGAGAAAAGAAAGAGGAAACUAUCCACCAAAUACUUAAACACUAUUUCAGUUAUCACAGUUUUUCUUCAAACUAAACAAUAGGAGGAAAACUUGAAAUUCUGAUGUUAGAUUUACCUUUGCUGUUUGUAAAUAAUUAUCAGAAUUUGAAAUGUCACAUUCAUUUAUACACCUAAUCUCUUUAUUUUAAAGCUCUCCUGUUUACUUACUAACGUAUGAUUACUGUAUUUCUUAUUUGAAAGCAUGGAAAUAUUUUGAAAAUAAAACAUUAAAAUUAUGGAA